GCCUAUUAUGACAUCAUCAAACAAGCGACUACUCGAAUAUUCAUGUAAAGAAUGGAAUUUUACGGCUACAAAGUAUAUAAACACUUACAUAAACAUGGAUCUUAUACAUCGUUAGUGAAAUUAGGGUUAUUCUUAAGGAAUUUAAAUAACGAAAGACUGUGUCAAUACAAAAAUAGACUGGUUACUUUUCCUUCAGAACGGCUUAAGGACAAUGUAAAGACAUGUUUUGUAAUGUAAAAUGGAUACAUGCAAAUAAAAUGUUUUGAAUGGGAAUGGGAGCAAUUCAGGGGCACCAAACAGCAUCAGAUGUUGAAGCCGUAAACAUUCAACAAUUCGGUUGCAGCCACGAUGCUUCCAGUCGUAGGACGUGUCACUGAGUGGAAUCACUAACCAUGACCAUACAAGCAACCACACCAAUUGUUCCACAGCGUUUUCAGUCGAUUUUCUUACCGCCAAUCGAAUAUUCGGUCUGAAGAUUUUAUCAUAAAAAUAGAAACAUCAUUAUUAUUGUUAUUACGUUGUUGUUUCUUAUUUCGCUAGAGUUGCGACACCUUACGGGUUUCGGAGGGAUGUAAUGAGUGGGGACUAAAACAAGUGGGUACGAACUUUUUGGGUAAGAAAAAUGUGGAAAUUAAAAUUAAAUGUGUGUACAAAAAUUGUAGUUACGAAAAAAAUGUGGGUACGAAAAUUUUGAGUUCGAAAAAAAUAUGCCAAAACAAAAUGGGUAGGAAAACAAAUUUGGUAAGAAAAAUAUAUGUACGGAAAAAAACGUGGGUACGAACAAGUUAUGCCAAAAAUAAUUUGGGGUGUGUAGAAAUACCGAAAUCCCCGUAAUUACCGAAAUCCCCGUAAUUACCGAAAUCCCCAGAAAUCCCCAAUAAUAUGUAUUAUUUAUCAAAGUACUGCGGCUAUUAAGAUAGAAUAUUGCAAAAUACAAUCAAUUCACUGAUGAAAAAUUGUUGUUUUUCCAUGUUUGGUAGUGAAAAACUAAAAUAUAUACAUAAUUAUUGGGAUACCGAGUAUGAAUCCAUAGUGCAUGUUUUCACAAGCACGAUCAGGUACAGAAAUUCCCGCUGUAAAGAUCUUCAAGUGUCAAAAAAUCAUCUGGGUGGCUUUUUGAUAUUAGAAAGAAGAGGUACAGACAAAAACAACAAUA